UGCAGCUAUAGAGUAUAGUGGAGGUUAUCAGGGUGACAGGUGGUGCAUGGUUGUCGACAGUUCGUGUCGUGAGAUGUAUGGUUAAGUCCCAUAACGAGCGCAACCCUCAUCCUUAUUUACUAACAUUAAGUUGAGCACUAUAAGGAAACUGCAGUCGUAAGAUUGAGGAAGGUGGGGAUGACGUCAAAUCAUCAUGCCCCUUAUAUCCAGGGCUACACACGUGCUACAAUGGUAGAGACAAAGGGAAGCUAACCCGAGAGGGGGUGCAAAUCUCAUCAAACUCUACCUCAGUUUGGAUUAAAGUCUGCAAUUCGACUUUAUGAAACCGGAAUCGCUAGUAAUCGCAAAUCAGCAUUGUUGCGGUGAAUACGUUCCCGGGCCUG
rnacentral:rRNA from 1 species